GUGACUAUGGAAGGUGCAAGGCCCUGAACCUCCAGCAUCCCUCAGUUGCCAUCCAGACUGAUAACUGUUUCCUGGAACAUGAGCUGACAGGAUUCCAAAUAUUAUUUUAGUGCCCCUGAAAUUAAGAUGGGAAACUAAGGCACCGACAGGAGAAGUGACUUGCCCAAGAUCAGCCAGCCGGCAGUGGCAGAGACAGGAAUAGAAUCCAGAUUCCCCCGUCCACUGACCUAUCCACUAGGUCAUUUCGGAAUUUCUAGUUCUAAGUCCGAUGUUCAUCUUCUAGGUCACUCAGGCAAUAUUGACUCCGGCCUUUUUCUCUCUUUUUGUCUUAGUUUCCCUAGCUGCAUAAAGGAAUAGUACUACAAUUGGCCUAUGUUGCAACGUGUUAUGAGAAAUAGUGUUUGUA